GGACUCUCUUGCUGAGAAGACAAACACGGAUAAGAAGCAAGCAGCAGUUUGGCCGCUGGAGCCAUAUUUUCAGGUACGUUCUCUCAGGAAAGCAGUUGAACAGCUAAUGCGCUGCUUCAAGCCACAGCAAGGCCUUUUCACUUAAGAAAAGAAGAAUAAGAACAUGUCAAUACAAGGCAUGAAGUUAAGAGGGGGAAAUAUUCAAAUCCUGCUUCCCAAAAAAGUGAUUGAAUAUCCCUCCACUGGUGCUGCCACUGUCCCCAAGGUCAGUACAUUUGGCACAAACCUGUUUCCCCCCUCAAGACACUGAGCAUCUGCAUAGAGGGGAGAUGCUUUCAUUUAGGAAACUGUGCAAGGUUUACCUCUCCAGAUAAGGCUUUAGACUGAAGAGAGAUUUCACUUAAAAAAAUUAAAAAGCAAACAUAACAAAGAAGGCAGUUUUUACUUUUAAAAUGUAGCACUGUACUUGAGAUAUAUAUAUAAUUACUAUCCUGUAUUUUCUAAUGAUCUUACGUACAAUUUUGAGAGUGUUUUAAUGCUAUUUUGAGUCCUCUCACAGGGUUGAUUAGAAACAUUCUGAAAUGCAUAAAGAAAAACAGGUGUUUUGUGGUUUCCCCCAGGGAAUUCCCCUCCCCCAAGUAGGCUUACAGAGAGCCAACACGGUGAAUUUUCGUAGCUAGGCAAAUAUAUUUUUAUUCUCCAAGAUGCCUGAACAUAUUUUUAGCCUUCUGUUAUUAAUAUUUACCAUAUUAUAUCCUGGUUUUGGAAAAUGCCCUCAAAGCUGCACACAACUUUUCAAUCCAGUGGUCAAAUGCUUUCAUAGGAGACAAUGGUGACUUUGAGCCAGUGGAAGCUGGACUAUUUGGAUGGGGGGGCACCCCAACAACCUCAGUCUGCCCUCAGCCAGCCCCCCACCUGCCUGCCUUCUUAUUUAGCCUAAUGGGUGGACAAUCAGCCUGCUCAAUCUGUUUUGUCUUCAUGAAACUCAGAAGGGUAGAAGAUGGGGACAAAACCAAAAUGAAUUGGCUCCAUCUUGCUUUGGCUCUGGCUCCACCUACUGUUAGCCUCCAUGCUUUCUACCCUAUCAGUCCCAAACAGCACCAGUCACCACUGAUGGGGCUUAUUCCCAUGUAAGUGAGCUCAGGCUUACUUCCCAGCAAACAUGCAGAGGUUUGUGCUCUUUGUUUACAUUCUUGUCCUAAGUCAAACCAUAUAGGAUUCUUGGCAAAUCCCAUAUAUUUUCAGUUUGCCUUUGGCUUCAAAACAAUGUUUUAGGAUUACAGUUUGAAGGUCAAUUUGAUUGGAUUUCUUGAGCUUCAUGAGAGGACUGCUUUCCAUCUUACUGUUUUAGUUCUAGAACUAAAACAGCCAACUAUAUUUUAUAAACUUAAGUGUUGUGUCCCCCACCCCCCACCCGCAAUGGUUCCACUUACUUCCUAUGAUCUGGCAAAGGAUCACAUUGAUAGAUGUCAUAUCCUAGUAUGAGUACUAGAUUUAGGCAUGUAUCUGGCCUAAGCUGACCACAGGUAUCCAUUUUUACCCCUUUAUUUUGUCGAACAAUUCAGAUUGAAUUGCUGUUAUGUCCUGUCACAACUUAAGCUAUGAGGCAAUGCUGGCACGUUACCUUUAACUGCAUGCUUGUUGCUUUAAAACAUUCUUCACUCUUUCCCUGUUGAACAGAUGUAAUGCAGAUGCUGGAGCCAAGUAUUUAUAACCAUCUCUCUCCUUUUUGGCUUAAGCACCCCACCCCCCCCAAAGGAGAGUAACAAAGCUCAAAAAAGCCAUUAGCUUUAGACUUUAGUGGAUACAAAAAGGAGAUUUAUAUAACCUGUCAGCACAAUUCAUUGCUCAAUGCCAGAAAGUAUUUUGUCAAUGUUGGUUGUAGCCUCCAUGUGAAAAUUAAGGAACUGGGAUUCAGGGACCCUGAGAUUUCUACUCUCUGGUGGUCUUUCCAAAUAGUUAGGAAGCUAAACAACAACAACAUCACACCGACGUCUCUUUCGAAGACAGAAGCUCUCUUUUCCAUAGUAGAGUGAGUGGCCAGUUGAGCACCACUUUCUGAAAUGAGCUAACUUGCUGUGACUUGCUUGUCCCUGAACUUUCCCCCACCUCUUUCUCAGCCUCUGCCUUUGGGACUGCUCUGACUACAGCUAAUUUUAACACAUCAGCAGGUAGACAGAAGAGUCGGAGUGGCAGUGACCAAAAAAAGACUCAGAAGUCAGUCAUCAUAUCCUCAACAUCAGACAUCUGCGAACUAGCUGUAGCUACUCCAAGUGAAAGAUAUGCACUCUGCACCUGCUCAGUGACAUUCUUUUUCUUUAUUAAGUCUUACAAGUGAAACUUGUGACAGAGCCUGUUCUAAAUGAUUUUUGAUAUUCUGUUUUAAAUUUGUGCUCAGUGUUGGGUUGUUGCUGUUUUUAAGGGGGUUGCCCCCUUAGGUUCCCUUGCUCCUUUUCUGUAUUAUGUAAACCUUGCUGUUCUCCAGACCAUGUUUAUACUUCUCCCUUGCGGUGCUGUUUUGGCUACAUAAGAAUACACUCUUGGAGACUGAGUUUGUUAUUACAGAUUUUUGUGAAUGUGCUUAUGAUAUCGCUCCCUCCCUCGUUCCCAGUCAUAUGCCACUCCAUCAAAUUUGCAGAAACCUCCAAUUAUAUAAAAAGCUGUG